GAGGUGAAUCCGUCCUGGUGUUACCUCUUCACCGAGGCACACGUUAAAGAUUGUUCCGCGUUGUGAGUCUAACACCAGUUGUAAAAACAAUUACAACCGGUAGCGCUGGAUCCCUUGGCACGUCAUUCGAUGAAGACCGUUGCAAAUUGCGAUAAAGUGAUGUGAUGCGCAAGUCCACCACUUAUACGUGAAUCAUCGAGUUGUUGAACGCACUGCACCGCGCCCUAACCCGGCUGCGGUAUGCCCCUUUGAGCGUCAUUGUAUCCCUUCGAGAGUCUUUCUUAGACCCGAGUUCGGAGUCCUCGGUCUGCGGACCGUGUUCUCUUAGAUGCGUCGCGCUGAUCGUCUGAUGGGUCACUCUAAUGCCUGAGCGUGGAGUCCCUCGGAGUCGAGAUGCGCUUGACCGAGUGUUGAGCUCGCGUCGCCAAGUCCGCGUUCCUCUGGGACGUCGGUACUACAACGCAUGACCUCAUUGGGGUAGGACAACCCGCUAGACUUAAGCAUAUUAAUCAGCGGAGGAAAAGAAACUAACCAGGAUUCCCCUAGUAACUGCGAGUGAAGCGGGACCGGC
rnacentral:rRNA from 1 species